rnacentral:lncRNA from 1 species
CCCUCACCUCUCACCUUUGCCCCCGCCCCUCUCUGUCACUUCCGCCUGCUGCCGGCAUGGCGGCCGGCGCGAGCUGCUGGUUGGCUAGAGCGGCAGUGACGCGCCGAGGGCGGGCGGCUCGCGCGUCCUCGCGGCUCCUGAGGGCGCUCGCGGCGGCCGUUAACGGUCGCUCCUCUCAGAGGCGGUGAGCGCUGGGUCGGCGCUGCCGCUGCCUGCAGCGGGGAGAGCCCAGCCCUCACGCAGAAACUGCCCCUCGCCACCUCCUGCCGCUCGCCUGCCUUCCCCCGAGCUCCUGGUUUUGGAUUCAGGGGACAGCCCAGUUUACAUGAAGUCAACUCCCAAGUCAUCCUCCUCACACUCUGGAAGAUGCUUUGGCAUGGAAAAGAGGAGCGGCUGGAGCCUAAUGAGUCAUACUCUGCUAUUAAGAGACCAAUGAAGUAUUUGUAUACUCAGAGAGAAGAAUUAUUGAUGUCGUUCAUUAACUGGACUUUGGUCACCACUUGUUUUAACUACAUAGAUUAA